SYKCMMWAUUCGCCCUUAGAGUUUGAUCCUGGCUCAGAACGAACGCUGGCGGCGUGCUUAACACAUGCAAGUCGAACGUGAUUGASAGCUUGCUCUCAUGAAAGUGGCGCACGGGUGAGUAACACGUGGAUAAUCUGCCUGGCGAUUCGGGAUAACACUUCGAAAGGGGUGCUAAUACCGGAUAAGCCCACAGUCUCUUCGGAGAGUGCGGGAAAAGGGGGCCUCUGUAUAUGCUCCUGUCGCUARAUGAGUCCGCGGCCCAUUAGCUAGUUGGUAGGGUAAUGGCCUACCAAGGCRACRAUGGGUAGCUGGUCUGARAGGAUGAUCAGCCACACUGGAACUGAGACACGGUCCARACUCCUACGGGAGGCAGCAGUGGGGAAUUUUGCGCAAUGGGCGAAAGCCUGACGCAGCAACGCCGCGUGAGUGAUGAAGGCCUUCGGGUCGUAAAGCUCUGUCAGUGGGGAAGAACCGCCGGGUGGUUAAUACCUGCCUGGUCUGACGGUACCCACAAAGGAAGCACCGGCUAACUCCGUGCCAGCAGCCGCGGUAAUAC
rnacentral:rRNA from 1 species